UACGUAGGGUGCGAGCGUUGUCCGGAAUUAUUGGGCGUAAAGGGCUCGUAGGCGGUCUGUUGCGUCGGGAGUGAAAACUCAGGGCUUAACCCUGAGCCUGCUUCCGAUACGGGCAGACUAGAGGUAUGCAGGGGAGAACGGAAUUCCUGGUGUAGCGGUGAAAAUGCGCAGAUAUCAGGAGGAACACCGGUGGCGAAGGCGGUUCUCUGGGCAUUACCUGACGCUGAGGAGCGAAAGUGUGGGGAGCGAACAGG
rnacentral:rRNA from 1 species